CGAAGUUGAUAAUCUGUUUUGAGGAGCCUGAGAUCAAGAACCCCAGAUCAUGCAUAUUAUGUGAAAGCUUGCUAUAAAAUGAUUUAUAGCUAACUUGCUACUUAAAAAAUGAAAUUUAGCAUUGUCUUUGAUGUAAUGUUUGCCCAAAGCAGCAAAAAAAGAAAAAAAGGAAAAGAAAAAAGAAAAAAAAAAGCCUAUUUUCUAGAAGUGAAAAGGCUCAUACUAAAAUUUGAUGAAAAAAAUAUACUUGUUUUUGUGUGAAAUUUCUCAAUCAGCCAGGCAGGGUUGGUUGAGUUGCAGCCAAUAUAGCCAAUAAAGUGUAGUUCUGAUCCUGCAAGUGAUACACAUCCACAGGUACUUUCUGGAAGAACUAAUUUUUACUUCUUACUGACAGGUAAAACUUUCUUGUUCCAUAGGAGGAGUGCUUCUAAAGACAGUAUUGGAGCACAGAGUAGCAUGAGUGAAGUAACACUGCUAGUGAGUCAAAUGGUUGAGAUGUUUAAAGCCAUCAAAAUGCAAUUUGACAAUUCUCAGCGCUUCAUGUCUGCAUCACAGACUGCUACUGACUUCAGAGACCACCUGAACAACACUGAAGAAUUAAAAAAGCAAACAAGAAAAAACCCACAACUCUUUAGAAGCUUCUUCGAGAAGACAGUUCUCAAACUCUAGGGACUCGUAUAGUCUGAGAAUUACAGAUAAUCCGCCGCUGACCAGCAGAGUGAAGCAAUGCACAAACCCACCACCAGCUUCUGUGUCUGACAGACCAGCAGCUCACUC
ensembl:lncRNA